rnacentral:rRNA from 1 species
GACGAACGCUGGCGGCGUGCUUAACACAUGCAAGUCGAACGGAAAGGCCCUGCUUUUGUGGGGUGCUCGAGUGGCGAACGGGUGAGUAACAAGUGAGUAACCUACCCUUGACUUAGGGAUAACUUAAGGAAACUGAGGCUAAUAACGGAUAGGAGCCACUGCUGCAUGGUGGGGGGUGGAAAGAUUCGGCGGUUGGGGAUGGAUUCGAGGCUUAUCAGCUAGUUGGUGGGGUAGUGGCUGACCAAGGCUUCGACGGGUCGCCGGCCUGGGAGGGUGACCGGCCCCAUUGCUCCUGCGGUACGGCCCAGUCGCCUACCGUCGGCAGUAGGCGGGAGUCUUGCGCAAUGGGCCCACGCGUGAUGCGGCGACGCCGCGUGCGUGAUGACCGCUUGCGGGUUAUAAACCGCUUUCGCCUGUGACUACGCGUGAGUGACGGUAAUGGGUAAAGAAGCACCGGCUAACUACGUG